AUACGGAGGAUCCGAGCGUUAUCCGGAUUUAUUGGGUUUAAAGGGAGCGUAGGCGGACGCUUAAGUCAGUUGUGAAAGUUUGCGGCUCAACCGUAAAAUUGCAGUUGAUACUGGGUGUCUUGAGUACAGUAGAGGCAGGCGGAAUUCGUGGUGUAGCGGUGAAAUGCUUAGAUAUCACGAAGAACUCCGAUUGCGAAGGCAGCCUGCUGGACUGUAACUGACGCUGAUGCUCGAAAGUGUGGGUAUCAAACAGGAUUAGAUACCCUGGUAGUCCACACAGUAAACGAUGAAUACUCGCUGUUUGCGAUAUACAGUAAGCGGCCAAGCGAAAGCAUUAAGUAUUCCACCUGGGGAGUACGCCGGCAACGGUGAAACUCAAAUGAAUUGACGGGG
rnacentral:rRNA from 1 species